GUGGUGUCCCGAGCUGCAGACGUGAAUACGCAGUAGCUCCAAAGUUUGUGGAAAUAAGGUCGUCCUGAUUUCAUUUGGUAAGAGUCCGGCGGUGGGAGCCUGCUGCGGGGGAGCAUUGGUGGGCUGUUGUUUUCAGCUUGCAGGUACACGCUCAGCUCAUGCUUCUGUGGGACACCGCGCUCAGACCCGGGAGCAGCAGCUCAUCCGCCGCCGGGGGAAGAGAUCCCGCUGCAGGUCCUCACACCUGAUGCGUGUCAGCUUGUCUGGAGACCAGAAGGAGUCCUGCCUCCCUCCUCCCUCCACCCGGACGGACGGACGGACGGACGCAGCAGCAGCAGAGAGGCGCUGUCUGUGACUGACACACACGCGCAACCUGCCGCCGGCACUUUUUAUUUAAUUCCCUCCAAUAAACGCCCCUCCCACUGAUUCAGCGGUAUCCGUGGGUGCGUUUUAGCCUCCCCACUCCAUCCUCUCCCAUAUGGAUGAAGGGACACUGGACCCCUGCGCUGAUUUGUUUCUUUUGUUUUAAUGAUUUUUUUUUGUGUGUGUGUGUUUGAGGCGGUUUUCCAUCUCAAUUAUUGUUAAUGUAUUUGUUGUGGUCUUUUUUUAUGGCUGUUUUGUGUGUUGGUCAUUUGUCUGUUCGAUUUUUCUUUACUUUGCUAGAUGUUUUUUGUGUGUGUUUGUGAUUAUUUGUUUGGCUUCCCAACAACAAGCGUGUAUACACCGGCUUUAAUCUGUAUCUCUGACCCCUCGGCCCAGUGGGCCGGCAUCCAGCACAGGGCCACUCAGCGAGCCUGCCAUUUCCAUUCCAGCCCACAGACAAACACACUGACAGGUGCAAAUGUGUAGCUACUAUAGGCCCGCACCUAGUUCCCGGUAUUAAAUAUUCUCACCUGCUUGCCAUUUAUUUUCCUCCACCUCCCCACAGCAGACUCCUAACUGAUGUCAAGUUCUUAAACCCAAUGGAAAAUGAAAUCGUCGCUUUUAAUUUGACACUAUAUGCACAAUUUGUUGACUGCAUUUAUUAUUUUGAACAGGUAAUGUAGACUGUAGAUGUACCGAUGCAGAUAGUUUUUUUUUUCCAUAUUAAAUCAGAGAUUCUUCAAAUCGCAUGUUACAAAAUAACAAAACUAACCACUGGAUAGGAAUCAGAAACGCGCGCCAAGUUCUGAACAUACAUCAUCCAGAGAACCGGAGGUUCAAACACACGAGAAAACCCAGUGGCAGGGAGGGUGAGCUGGGUUCAGCAGAUCAUCAUGAGAUGAUCAAGAUGUGGAAUUAGGAAUCCUCGUGUAAUCCCUCCUC